rnacentral:rRNA from 1 species
CUCAACCGUGGAGGGUCAUUGGAAACUGGAAAACUUGAGUGCAGAAGAGGAAAGUGGAAUUCCAUGUGUAGCGGUGAAAUGCGCAGAGAUAUGGAGGAACACCAGUGGCGAAGGCGACUUUCUGGUCUGUAACUGACGCUGAUGUGCGAAAGCGUGGGGAUCAAACAGGAUUAGAUACCCUGGUAGUCCACGCCGUAAACGAUGAGUGCUAAGUGUUAGGGGGUUUCCGCCCCUUAGUGCUGCAGCUAACGCAUUAAGCACUCCGCCUGGGGAGUACGACCGCAAGGUUGAAACUCAAAGGAAUUGACGGGGACCCGCACAAGUGGUGGAGCAUGUGGUUUAAUUCGAAGCAACGCGAAGAACCUUACCAAAUCUUGACAUCCUUUGACAACUCUAGAGAUAGAGCUUUCCCCUUCGGGGGACAA